AUUAAAAUAAAAAAAAAAAAAGAACAACUUCUUCAUACACACACAAGCUUUCUUGAUAAGUAGUGCUUCCAUUUUUUUUUUUUUUUUCAGGCUUUUCCCUUUCAAAUCUUGUGGUCUCCAGCCAACUUUGCUGUUAAAGGUUAGGGUUUUGCUGGUUAAACAUUUUCCGUUGAUGGAGGGAGCAAUGGCUGAGUGAGGGACGUCUUGAUGUGGGCUUGUGAUCUGAGAUUUGCGUGCUCUGGAGUGGACUGGAUCACUGCACUUUCCUUGGCUGCAAAUUUCUUUUCUUCACUUUUGCCCCAUAGGACAAGGUACAAUCCUAUUAUGAUCAGCACUGCUCCAAUGAUUCCUCCGAGAUAGAACUCUUCGCGCAAAGCAAUGGAAGCCAUAAUAGCGACAACAAGAGUCUGAACAGGUUGAUAAACAGCAACGAAGACAGGGCCACCUCUGUCAAUGCACCAUAUCUGUACAGCGAAGGCAAUCCCUGAUGCCACCACUCCUGCAUAGAGGAUGGUGAAUAGUUCUCCCCCCGAGUGAAAAAUCCAAGCCUGUGGAUCCCUCUCAGCGAAGGCAGCAAUGAUCAAGAACUGUAUAAGCCCAAAAAAGCACGUAUAGGAGGUGACAGAUAGCCUGGCCGGGUAUUUCUUGAGAACCGGAGCCUGCAACACUAACCAACCGGACCAGGACAAGCAAUGGCCAAUGAGAUAGAUACAACCCAGGGUCCAGUUCUUGCCCCUCGCAUCUCCAAGGGAAAUGAACAUCGGCGAACUGGGUUUGUCUAGCCGUGGAACUGGGCUGUAUAUGACUGGACCCUUGUAUAAAGUGAUAACUGUGGCCCCCGCUACACAGCAGAUGGUUCCUAUUACUUUUGCAAUUCCAUCUUUUCUGUUUAGCCUCACUUUCUCUAUCCUGCAAUGUAUAACAAAUGAAAAAAAUAUAUAUUUUCGCAGACCCUACAUAAGUAUGGCUGAGAAGAGGAAGAUGAGGGCUUUACCGGAGCAGGGCUGCCAUGAGAAAGGUAAUGGCUGGGACGGAGUUUUGAAUUGCUGAUGCGAAGGUGGGUGAGGUGUUGUCUAACCCCAGCAAGUAGAAUCCUUGGUUUGCUGUUAUUCCUACUAGAGCCAGAAGAAAGAACUGAAGGAGGAAGUUGAGAGUAAUCGCUGGCCUCUCCUUCUUUUCAAGAAAAUAUGCAAAUGGAAGUAGCAGAAGCAAAGCGAUGAUGUUCCUGUAAACUGGGAAGACAAGCUUGCUAAUUCCCAUAUUAAGGGCAGCCCUAGAGACUACAUGGAAUCCAGCAUAGCCAAACUGCAAGGCCAACAUGGCCAAGUGCAGCUGAAGCCUCUCUGGAACUGAACACCACAUUCUUCUUGAAGAGAUGGAACCCCCAGUAUCAGCCAUUGAAGCACUAAAUUGAAGAUGGAAUAUUUCCUUUGCAAUUAAAGAAGUGAAGAAGGGAACUGAUGUUGUGGAGAGCCAAGGAAGAGUUGAUGGUAUAAAUAUAGUCGGAGUGAAAGAGGAAUGAGAAUGGUAUGGCCCACAGUGGGCUUGGUUUGGCCCACGGUGGGCCCUAAAAAGACGUUGUGUCAACUGUUAAUAGCCUUCAAAUGUUUUUGGUUGUCUCCCACAUUCUUCUCUAUUUCACCCGCCUCAUCAGCUGACAAGACAACCCCGAGCCAUGAGCACUAGCCACUAGCAAGUAUAUGAAAUUAAAGAGAGACGAAGUGAGAGUGAAGGAGGGAGAGAGUAUAAUCUACAGGUACUGUUUUGGCUCCAUGGCCUUCAAAUGUUUUUGGUUGUCUCCCACAUUCUUCUCUAUUUCACCCGCCUCAUCAGCUGACAAGACAACCCCGAGCCAUGAGCACUAGCCACUAGCAAGUAUAUGAAAUUAAAGAGAGACGAAGUGAGAGUGAAGGAGGGAGAGAGUAUAAUCUACAGGUACUGUUUUGGCUCCAUG
rnacentral:misc_RNA from 1 species